CACUGCAGAUUGAUGUCCUUAAGUCUAUGUUACUGAUUAUCCCAAGCAAUUCAUGCUGUGUUCUUUGUCUUAUUUAAUGAACAGAAACACCAAGGAGAGCUAGUAAGACAUGGAGAGUUUUACAUCCCAAAAUGUCUUGACAAUGGGCGUAGACAAUUGCUCUAAUGUACAGGUUUGAAAUGUUGCAUUGUUUUUAUUUUCAUUCCGAGACCUUUGUGUCGAGAGUGGAGCAAAAGAGGAGAAAAGGACAGCAUACUGGAUUGGAUCCAAACUUACCGACCAGCAGGUGUCAACUGGAUGACUCACUGAUGGAUUGACUUUUACCUAGCAGGAUGUCUGAGAGCAGAGCAAUUGGCCUUAGACUCAGCGCUGCCCUUGGGAAAGAGUAAAAAGCAUGCAUGCUGAAGCUAAGGAGUCUGGGUCUGGUCAGUGCCUUGAUAUGAGACUGGUUGUGUGUUGCCGUUAUCUCCAUAAUGGAAUAAAGAUGGCCGUCAGAGGCAGAGAGAAGACCCUUGCCGAAAGCCACCCAGUGGGUUCAUGACUGAAUCUGGAUCCAGUUCAUUGCUCAGGUUCUUAACCACUAGGCUCUAACAGUGUUUCAGUCUGUUAGUCCUCAAAAUAACAGCAUAAUAAAAAUCUACAUAAAUACGGUGGGUUUGAUAUUUCCUAAAUGAGGCAAAAAUGGAAUUGACUUCUUACUCUUUAUGAGUCUGAAUUAUAAGAACUUAUUAUCAGCAAAACAUGCUGCUAUGAUUUCAUCAUUAAGUUUGUUCUGUCAUCAUAUAUUUGUGCAAAAAGUUCUUCUAUGACAACAAACCCACUUCCAUGAAAUGUUCAGGUUUGCUGCUUGAAUGUAACAUCACAGUUUAUUUCUCUAUGGCCAAAAUUAGCGGUAUAGCGACUCAACACAAAAUUAACCCUGGGAUGGUUCUUCAUAUUCAUUAGCUGCUGCUUCUGCCCUAGCUUUACCGGAGACGGAGAGAAGCGGAUGUAAUCUAUUUUAUUUCUUGCAAAACCCAGAACCAUCAUCCAUAGUACCUGAUCUCCAUCUCUGCCAGUAAACCACUGGGAAACCCAGUUCAAUACAGCAUCACAGUCAUUUCAGCUUCUGAUUCAGUUCCUGGUCUCGCUCUGAUAGGAACUUUAAACUUCCUAAGCUGGUCCCCCUCACAUAAACACACACACCGAAUCCAUCACAUAUGGUGCCUGCUUUCUUUCUAUUACUAUCUCCCUUUUUUGUUAUUUCAGUGCACCGUAAUUCUAUUGGUGGUGAAAAGCUGCACUAAUGCUUGGCUUGCAGAGUCUCAUCAGAAUACCUUUGUUUGUGUCAAAGGUAUCUGAAGUCUAUCUCCCUAACAUAUGAAAAAGGAAAAGUAUUUGCAGCCCAGUUGUUAAAAUAUACCACCACACUAUGUUUAUGCAUUCAGACUAUAUAACAGAACAGAACUAAGCUUCAUUGUACCCAGAUCAGCUUCAAUGCUGGUAACUAAGCAGAGAAUAAGCCUUACACAGAAAAACUAAGAACAAGCUACAAAACACCAGGACCCAGAUGCAGAUACUCUGAAUUGUGUUUAUCAGCUCUUUGGCAGGAAGGAAAGAGCAGGGAGACUAAUCCUGCUCCCUGAUCCAAACAGCAAUUGCAAUUUAAAUCAGAUUAGGUGUGCAUUGCCUGGGGCUGGUCAAUGUGGCUCAGAAAUCAUCUGUGCACUUGCAAUAGCCCAUUCAGCUAGGGAUAGAAGCGCAGAAGCAAGCUCCCACAAUCAUAUGACAGUAGCUGGAUCAGAUCAAAUGUGGUGAGCCUGCUUCUCUUGACGUUCAAGAGGGGUGAGGAACCUCUCAUCCAUGGGCCAAAUAUGCCCUGUCCCAAGGUUUAAAUUUGGCCCAUGAGGCUGUUUUCCCCAAACCACACUCACCUGCCCCACAUCUGACAUCAUAUGCAAUGUCAGGUGUGAGGCAGGUAAAGACGCAGCUGCCAAUGCACAAUCAAGAGCCUUAAAGUGCACUCCCUGAUUGGCAAGGGAAAGCAGGCUUUCGGUCUUCUGCCAGUCAGCUGCUGGCCGGCAGAGCCAAAUCCUGCUGGAUCAUCUUUGCUAGAGAGAUCCCCAUAGGAACUCACACACCCAAUGCCUGCAGGAAGCAGGCCUGUUCUCUACCAAACAUGCCAGUUGUGCAGGACAUGAAGCUAUGGAUGUAAAAUUGCAAAUCUAAGGCUACCUUCACAUCAUACAUUUAAAGCACCAUGAUACCACUUUAAACAGUCAUGGCAUUCUCAAGAGUAGUUUAACAAUCAAUUCCUCUGCCCAGGGAACUCUGGAAACUGUAGCUCUGCAAAAGGAAUAGCAGUCCCCUAACAACUUCCAGUACCCUUAACAAACUACAGCUCCCAGAAAUCUUUGAAGGAAGCCAUGUCCAUUAUGGUAUCAUAGUGCUUUAAAUGCUGUUUGUCUUAAAUGUAUGAAUUUUUGCUUUACUUGUUUUAAUUUUGGUAGACUGCCUUGAAUUUAUUAGUAAAAUGCGGAAUGUAAAUGUUUGAAACAGAUAAAUAAAUAUGUUUCCUAGUGGCGGGUGCCUAGCUUCAGCCAUGUAAUCCAUUAUUUAGGAAGUCACUUCUUGUUAUCCAAUGUUCAAAUAUGCCAAUUUGGAUCAGUACUGUGGAGACACGAUGUCUCUAAAACAGGCCACAUAUUUAGUCAUAAAUAUGUGUUUCUAUGACCCAUUUAAAGCAUCUAUGUUAUUCUGUUGCCUAAGAUGUGGUUUAGUCAAUUUCAGAUGGACUUCUGAAAUGCUUAAGUUCAUGCUUAAGUGCUCUGCACAAGGAUGAAAGUCUGGAGCAGUUAGCAGAAGCCCAGGUAAAGCAUCAUGUUUCAAUAUACUUCCGUUUUUAACCUGAAUGUUGAUUCUAGGCAAUAUAGUUUUUAUACUGGAAUUACAGGCAUGGGAAAUGUCCAAAUGGAUUCAAUUAUCACUAGCAAAAACAGUGUUAGAGACAGCAUGAAAGCCAGACCAAACUGCUUCCAAUAUACAAGCUGAAAAGAAAGAAUGUAUCUACAGCCUCAGCUCACCCAAGAGAAUUACACCUUGUGGCAACAACAGUGACAAUUACACAGUGACAAUAAAAUCUGAGGAUCCCUGCUGUUACAGACACACUAGUGUCCUCUGAAAAUGUGAAGUUAUUUUCUCUGCACCAUCGAAGGCCUGUGGUGGGUCGGCUCCACUAAUCAGUUGGAGAUUUUGUUUAGAAGUCUUCUUCAUGCUGUUUAUGCCGCUAACAGACCCAGUUCACCACAAACCUAACACUGCCACCUUUUCUUGUUUACAUGCCUCCUUUCCAGGACAUUACUGCCCUCUUCUACUAAUCUAGCUCAGCGUGUGAGAAAACACUUUCUUUUUUAUGUGAAGUUUGUUAAUUAUCUUUCUGGAAGCCAUUCACUCAAAUGCCACCUGAAGAGACCUCUUGUUGUCUGUGUUUAAUUAAUACUCACAUUCCUGUAUGCAGAGAGACUUCAUCAAAACACAACUCUCUUUUUCACAGGGCAGGAGCAUCUUGAGAAGAGAAAGCGAUUUCAGCAGCAGCAGCUAAUCUUUGGGAUGUAAAUAAUUUCUGAAUGUAAGAUAAUGCAUAUGCUAGAGGGACCUCUGUUAGAUGCAGAUCACUUGCCCUUUCAUGGAAGCUAAUGUUUUUCUACUAUGAGGGAGCAUUUAUACUUCGCAUGAAAAAUAUGCAGCCCACUCAUUUGUAAAAUAAGUGUGAGCUCAAGCCAUGCAUGUGUGAUUUACGGAGUAUUGCUUGACCUGGAAAAGCUCUUCUUCAGUGUACACUUUAUGUAAGGUUCUGUUAGAAGGAUUAGAUAUAAAGAAUAAUUGUCUGGUUUUAGACCAGGCAACCCCAA